CGGCACGGCUUGCGAGCAGAGGUGGAAAUAAGAAGGGUGGAAACGUUGUUAGGAAGUAUUGGGCGUAAAGCGCACGUAGGCGGCGCUGCAAGUCGGAUGUGAAAUCUUAUGGCUUAACCAUAAAAGUGCAUCCGAAACUGCAGUGCUUGAGUACUUAAGAGGAUCGCGGAAUUCCCGGUGUAGAGGUGAAAUUCGUAGAUAUCGGGAGGAACACCAGUGGCGAAGGCGGCGAUCUGGGAAGAUACUGACGCUGAGGUGCGAAAGCGUGGGGAGCAAACAGGAUUAGAUACCCGAGUAGUC
rnacentral:rRNA from 1 species